rnacentral:rRNA from 1 species
GACGAACGCUGGCGGCGUGCUUAACACAUGCAAGUCGAGCGGUAAGGCCCUUUCGGGGGUACGACGAGCGGCGAACGGGUGAGUAACACGUGGGUGACCUGCCCUUAGCUCUGGGAUAAGCCUGGGAAACUGGGUCUAAUACCGGAUAUGACUCCAUAACGCAUGUUGUGGGGUGGAAAGCCUUGUGCGGCUAGGGAUGGGCCCGCGGCCUAUCAGCUUGUUGGGUGGGGUGAUGGCCACCAAGGCGACGACGGGUAGCCGGCCUGAGAGGGCGACCGGCCACACUGGGACUGAGACACGGCCCAGACUCCUACGGGAGGCAGCAGUGGGAAUCUUGCGCAAUGGGCGAAAGCCUGACGCAGCGACGCCGCGUGGGGA